UACAGAGGUCUCAAGCGUUGUUCGGAUUCAUUGGCGUAAAGGGUGCGUAGGUGGCGCCGUAAGUCGGGUGUGAAAUUUCGGAGCUUAACUCCGAAACUGCAUUCGAUACUGCGGUGCUUGAGGACUGGAGAGGAGACUGGAAUUCAUGGUGUAGCAGUGAAAUGCGUAGAGAUCAUGAGGAAGACCAGUGGCGAAGGCGGGUCUCUGGACAGUUCCUGACACUGAGGCACGAAGGCCAGGGGAGCAAACGGG
rnacentral:rRNA from 1 species